UUUGGCGCUAUGCAGAAUGACGAAGAAAAUUAGCGCAACUUUCAAAACCAAACAUUUAUAUCAACACCAACCAAAAAAAAAUAAAUAAAUAUCAGAUACCUGUUGAGUUUGGAUAGUAACUAUGUAUGUAUAGGUUAAAUCUUGUAAUAAAUGCACAACGAUUUAGUUUAAUGACACUCAGCAAUUCAGGACUGGCUGUUCUGGGAAAAUAAUCUUCCAAUCGACCAUACCAGCAAUCUGAAAUUUACUGCUGAUUCCCUGCUACAAUAAGAGGACAAAAACUACCAGGUGUAGUCCUACAAGCAGCAGAACUGUGUUGUUUUAAUUAAAUGAUCAUAUUUGGGGUGGUCACAGUAGCAUUCCUGAUUUUAAAAUUUCAGGGAUCAAAUUUCAUUACAAAAACAUAAUUCCAAUGAAGACAAUAAUCAGGUAUAACAAUAAUUUUUCUCAUGCCACUCAUUUACAUUUACAGCAUUUGACAGAUGCCCUUAUCCAGAGCGACUUACAUUAUCUCAUUUUUGUACAACUGAGGGUUAAGAGCCUUGCUCAGGGGCCCAACUGUGGCAGCUUGGUGGACCUGGAAUCGAACUCACAACCUUUACGAUUGGUAACCCAACACCUUAACCACUAGGCUACCACAUGCCCACUCAGUACUAAUCCAGUCAGAAUAAGGCUGGUUCUUACUUUUAUUGCCCUUUAGUACAGCCAGCGGUCCUCCAUUUUGGGUCUUGGGAGUUUUGGCUACUUCGGCUGUGUACAGAUGGUCUGAGUCGUCGAGAGCCAGGCGCCUCUUCGCCUGUGGAUUGAGUUCACAAGACAAUCAGACAUGUUGCUGUCACAAAUCAGCUGAGCAGACCAAAAAAAACAAAAAACAAAAAAAAACACAGCUGUGUCGCUGGGAGAAGUCGAAUUUUUCAGUCUCAGAUUCAGUUUAACCUUGUUUGCAUAUUCAGUGUUCCAGACAAAUCUUUUGCAAAUAUUAAGAAAAUCUCCACAUGGCUGGUACAGAAAAUCUCACCCCCACUCCAGAAUCCCCAAUUAGUUCUCAAAAACCUUCAAAAUCUUCUACGCUCAAGACAAUCUUUAAAUCGUAUCUUAAUCUUUAUUUACGGCAAAAGCCUGAAACACGACCGUGUGCUGAUGGAAAAGUUGUAAUUCCUGUCGUCUAAACUCCAACACCAGGCACAUAGUAAACUACAUCAAUUAAAUUGGCUAAUCAUUCAAGUCGUGACAUUUACGACCGUUAGUUCUCCAUUAUGCGGAUCCAAAUUUACCGAGUUGUGUAUGCAAAGGCUAAUUCCUGUUCAGAUGUCACUUGGAUUGUAAACUAUUAUGAUUAGCUUUAGCGUUGUACAGAUAUCUGUAAAAAUGGCAACCUGACGAUGUCUAUUAAAAUCACCACCAUGCCAAGUUUUACUGUUUAGUUACACUAAAUAAAAGCUGACCGUGCUUCACAAAUUUCAUUUUCCAAUCAUAAAAAAUGAAACAUUUUCAUUUACAUCCCAAACAAGCCUGCUUAACCAUAGCUUAGAUUGACGAGGCUGCUGAAAGUGAAGAAAUAAUAGAAAGAAAAUGAUUACAUUUUGGAGAGUUAUGGAAACAUCUAGACUUCUUGUCUAUUCAAUCUUUCGCUCAUUUAGAAUUUAGACUUUAGCUGAAAAGAUAGAUGACUCUGACGUCUUCCUACGUCACUCUUUGCCUCAAUCUUGUUAAACGCAAAAACAAAACUAUUAUUUGCAUCAUUGAAAUUUACACAAACCUCUGCUUCUUGCAUCACUAAAACUACUUCCUGUUUGGACAUGGCUACUGAAUAAAAAUCCUACUAACUACAAAUAAACAAGAAAGAUGAAAUUCUGGCAUCAAAGCAAAAAAAAAAAAGUAUGUCUGUGUGUGUAUAUAUGUAUACACACACACACAUACACACACACACACAUAAAUAACAUGGGUAAUUGAUUUGUUUGUGGUCUCCGUAAACAUGCAACAAACUUAUGGAAGCUAAUAAAGAUUUUUUUAACGCUUUGCUACCUCAUGUUCACCCCCAAAAACCUUCCUGUUUAUCAAUGUUUCUACAUUUAUCACUACAAAAACAUGUCAACUUUGAGAAGAUGUGCUAAGCUAAACUACUGUUCGUGUUAAAUAACCGCGAUACGAUAUUUUGUUCUGUAUCGAGCUGCUAUGCACCUCGCCUCGGGAACGACUUGUGCGUUUGUUUUUAGUGACGUCGUUUAAAAAAAAGUUAGAAGAAAACACAGCAGGCUUCCUACGUCACUUUGUCUCGUUUAUUUCUCAUUUCUUUGCACUGAGUACUUCCUGUUUAGACCCGGGUCCGUUUCCAUAGCUACUGAAAAAAAAAUGUGUCCAGAAGAAUCCCCAUGACUGAGCUGGCCUUCCUGACCAGCUUGUCCAGUCUCUUCCUUUCUGCAGUAGAGAUGCUGCUGCACCAGCAGACCACACCAUAGGAUAUGACUGAGGCCACCACAGAGUCAAAAAGGUCUUCAGUAGCUCUCCCUGCACUCCAAAAGACCUUAGUCUACUCAUCAGAAAGAGUCUGACAAGAGAUUGACAAGUAACAAGAAAACUGAUCACAAAUUAAUAACAGAUAAAAAAGAUUAUUUUAGGAAUCUAAUUGCUGGACCUCCGUCAUCCUUUGUGAAUGAAUCUGUAUCAAAAGCACAUAUUUAUUUAGGUUUAAUAUGGAUUAAAUGGAUAUUGUAAUUGAAUAAUUUUUCUGAUGCUGUAUUAUAUGCAUUUACAUAAUGUGCAAAUUACUAAAUCAGUGGAAUGUUACAUGCAAACAUUCCCUAAUAAAGCUGUUUUUUAAAGGCA